UUAGGGCACUUACCCAGACGCCCAUCUGAGGCUUUUCUCCCCUAUUCCGAUGGAAUGUGUCCCCGGAAGCUGAUACUUCGCCAUUUUUUUUUUUUUUUUUUUUUUUUUUUUGUCUCUUAACAGGCGGGCUGAGGAAGUUGCCUCUCUCUGGCGCCUGCAUUCAAUGAACGUUUGUAAUGUUAGCAGGUGUGGACCUUGAGGAGAUUUUCUCUCCCUGGCUGCCCAAUUAUCAUUUUUAGAGAGGCAAUGCGAUAAUUGCUGAACGAUGUCACCUGACAUUCCUAGCGGGUGGGAGAGAGCCCUCUCCUGCCCCGCUCAUUGCCUAACUACCUGUAACAGGUGUGUGGGUGAGUGCUCCCUGUGAUGGAACGGUGUCCUGUUCAGGACUGGGUGCCACCUGGCACCUUGAGCUGCCAGGACCGGCUCGGGCUGCUCGCGAUCCCAAACUAGAACAAAUGGAAAUGUUCAGUUGUCUAGCUCACAGGGAUAUCCACAAGCCAGACCCAGAAAGCCUUUGCUACCAUUGAUGAAGAUGCCAAGUCCACAGCCCAACAGCCAGAAGACCCUUGGUCUAGCCCUUGGAUUCAGACUGAAUUGAUAUCGCCAGGUUUCCUGUCUUUUCAGCUUGCAGGCAGCUGAUUGUGGGACUUCUCAGCCUCCUUAAUCAUGGAUUAAUAUCAUCCUCAAGAAAGACCCUUCUCUGUGUCUCUGGUAUUCAAGCUAAGUGACCUUACAUGUGCGUCAUUCAUGCGAUGUGGCCCACGUCUUCUUAAUAGGAGCUAGCACUUCAACCUGUGGAUUGAUAAAGCAAAUGUCUUCCUCAGAAGGCCAUUGGCCCUCCCUAGACCUGUUAUAGACUGAAUUGUUUCUCCCUAGAAUUCAGUGUUGAAGCCCUACCCCCCAGUGUGACUGUAAUAGGAGAUAGGAUGGGGUCAUAAUGGGGGGGUCCCUAAUCCAACAGGACUAGUGGCCUUGUGAGAAGAGAGAGCAACACCAGCAAUGCACAUGCAAAGAGGAAAGGCCCUGCAAGGAUGCUAAGAACGAGGACGGCCAUCCGCCCACCAAGGAGAGAAGUAUCAGGAGGAACAAACCGGCCAACACCUUGAUCUUGGACUUCCAGCCUCCAGAACUGUCCGCAGCUUGGGCUACCUUCCAGCAUAAAGUCACUAAAGAUGUGCCGGGCAUGAUGAAGGAAGAAAGCGACUACAUGCUGAAGGAGAUGGUGCGGGGACUCGCUAGUACCUAUUGGCAGGACCUGGGGAACUUUGGUGGGUGCUUGAUAAUGGGGACUGGAAUAAAAACUGGCUAAGCAAAAAUUUAUGGACUUGGAUUCACUUUCUCAGAACACAGUUUAAUACCUUGGCAAGGAUUGCAGCAUAUGGGGCAAACUCCCUGCAGGGUGACCCUUAGAAACCUGGAGAAAAUGUAAAAGCCCUUUCUUGAGGAAUUGUCAUUUCCUAAAUUGUCAUGAAGAAAGGUAGAGAAAGGUAGAAAGAGGAUGAGGAAAGUGGGUACUCUGGAAUGGACACAUUAGGUGAGGACAGAAGAUCUGCCAGAGGUUAAGUAUUAUGACACGCUAUUCACUAAAACCAUUAGACACACCAUUCACCAGCUGGUGAAAAAGGCUACCAGAAUCACUAAAAUUUCAGUGGCUGUUCUAUGCAGGCCAGGGCUGAAGGUAGCAGAGGCCGUCACAGGCUGGACUCACUGACA
rnacentral:lncRNA from 1 species